rnacentral:rRNA from 1 species
GACGAACGCUGGCGGCGUGCCUAAUACAUGCAAGUCGAACGGACAGACGAGGAUCUUGCUCCUCUGUCGUUAGCGGCAGGCGGGUGAAUAACACGUGGAUAACCUACCUAUAUGACUGGGAUCACUUCGAGAAACCGGCGAUAAUCCCGGAUAAUAUAUUGCACCGCAUGGUUCAAUAGUGAGAUACGGUUUUUCUGUAACUUAUCGCUGGAUCCGCGCCGCAUUAGCUAGUUGGUAAGGUAACGGCUUACCAAGGCAACGAUGCGUAGCCGACCUGAGAGGGUGAUCGGCCACACGGGAAGUGGGACACGGUCCAGACUCCUACGGGAGGGAGCAGAAGGGAACGUUACGCAACGGUCGAAAGUCUUACGGAGUAACGCCGAGUGAGUGAUGAAGGUCUUGGGAUCGUAAAAACCGGUUACGAGGGAUGAACAAAUUUGGAAGUAAAUAUGGACGGCUUGACGGUACUGAAUCAGAAAGCAACGGCUAACUACGUG